rnacentral:rRNA from 1 species
AACUCUUAGCGGUGGAUCACUCGGCUCGUGCGUCGAUGAAGAACGCAGCUAGCUGCGAGAACUAAUGUGAAUUGCAGGACACAUUGAUCAUUGACAACUUCGAACGCACUUUGCGGCCCCAGGUUCCUCCUGGGGCUACGCCUGUCUGAGGGUCG